UCUCUUCUCCUGGUCGUAACUAGGGAUGACAAUAGAGCAUGACGAGCGAGUCUAUUUAUGGAUGUUGCUCAACAACUUGUACAAGUUUCUUCUAAUAAUGUUAGAGUUCUCUCUUCCCCUAGUCGUAAUUAGGGAUGACAAUGGAGUAGGACGAGACUAUUUAUGAAUGUUGCACAACAACUUGUACAAGUUCCUUCUAGUAAUGUUAGAGUUCUCUCUUCUCCUGAUCGUAACUAGGGAUGACAAUAGAGCAUGACGAGUGAGUCUAUUUAUGGAUGUUGCUCAACAACUUGUACAAGUUUCUUCUAAUAAUUUUAGAGUUCUCUCUUCCCCUAGUCGUAAUUAGGGAUGACAAUGGAGUAGGGCGAGACUAUUUAUGAAUGUUGCACAACAACUUGUACAAGUUUCUUCUAGUAAUGUUAGAGUUCUCUCUUCUCCUGGUCGUAACUAGGGAUGACAGUGGAGCAGGGCGAGGUUGAUGUAUGUAUGAUAAAAUUAGUUUUAUCAUGCAUAAUUUUCAACUCGCUCGACCACUAAGAGCCUUUUAUUUAUUUAUUUAUUUAUUUAUUUAUUUAUUU
rnacentral:lncRNA from 1 species